rnacentral:rRNA from 1 species
CCUACGGGAGGCAGCAGUGGGGAAUAUUGGACAAUGGGGGGAACCCUGAUCCAGCCAUGCCGCGUGUGUGAAGAAGGCCCUCGGGUUGUAAAGCACUUUCAGUGAGGAAGAACGCCUGGUGGUUAAUACCCAUCAGGAAAGACAUCACUCACAGAAGAAGCACCGGCUAACUCCGUGCCAGCAGCCGCGGUAAUACGGAGGGUGCGAGCGUUAAUCGGAAUUACUGGGCGUAAAGCGCGCGUAGGUGGCUUGAUAAGCCGGUUGUGAAAGCCCCGGGCUCAACCUGGGAACGGCAUCCGGAACUGUCAAGCUAGAGUGCAGGAGAGGAAGGUAGAAUUCCCGGUGUAGCGGUGAAAUGCGUAGAGAUCGGGAGGAAUACCAGUGGCGAAGGCGGCCUUCUGGACUGACACUGACACUGAGGUGCGAAAGCGUGGGUAGCAAACAGGAUUAUAUACCCUUGUAGUC